GCGUUUUAAAGAAAAAAAAGGAAGGGAGUUGGCGUGUUCUCUGGACUAAGUCCAGACUCCGGCCGAGGAGCCGCCGCGCCUCCGCCGCAGACGGUGGUCGGGCACCCUAGGUGAUGGAGCAGGUGACGGAGCAGUUGGUGGCGUGCGGCGCUGGCCAGAGGCGGGGUUUGGGGCUGGCGGCAGCUAGGUUUUCAGAAAAUUAAAACCCUAGUUUGACUAUUGUUAUUUUUUGGGCCUGUUGGGCUGUACAUAAGCUAUAAAUAUUUUUCAUUUAAGAAAUCUUUUGUUUGGACGA